AAGGGAAGUCACCAGCAGUUUUAAUUUGCGGUUUGCUAGCAAGAAAUGUCUUGGUGAAAACACUCUCCAUGUUCGUCACUAACUGCACCAAGAUUUUGUGGGAAGAAAUCCAAAUGUGAAUGUAAGAAGUGAAUCUUUAGUGACUUGUUGUACCCCAUUGCUUCAUAUGACUGGAGGAGACUUUCCACAAUUUCCUGGUAGCUGUCUGUUUUAUUGUUUCCCAAGAAAUUGCUGCAGACGUCUUUGAAUGCCGUCCAAGCUACUAGUUCAACUUCAUGCAAAAUAUAAUCAAAAGUUUCAUCUGUUAACCAUCUAUAACAGAGGAGAUGGAAGAAUUUAUAAAUGGCAUACUAGAUGACAAAGAUAAGACCUCUGUCUUCACAAGAAAGUAACUUGAAAACCAACUAUGACAGAGGACUUUGACAAUUUUAUGAAGUUUAUACUUCUUGACAAAGAACAAACUAUACCAGAUUAUUUACAAGAAUUUAUCAAUGGAAUAUUAGAUGACAAAGGCUGCAAAUGCUAUUCAGGAGUGGCAAUGCAUCUCUGACAUGUUUGCAGAAAAAUGGCAUAUCCCUAGAUAUGCAGGUUCUGUAGAUGGCAAACACUUGACCAUUCCAGCUCCAUCAAACAGCGGCAGCUACUUCUUCAACUACAAAUCCUACAACAGUACUAUCUUGAUAGCUGUUGUUGAUGCUUAGUACUUGUUUCUUGCUGUCAAUACUGGAUGCAAGAGUAUGUGAUGGUGGUGUUUUCACGGCCUCUGGCAUACCGGAGUUCCUUGAGUGUCAUCUGUGCCGAGUUGUUCCUGCAGUGCCGUGGUCAAGUUACAAUGUUUUAUUUUAUGAAAUUUACGUAUUGAAAAUUGUAUAAUGGUUAAGAAAAAGAAAGAAAAUUUACUGCUUUAAAAACGAUAGAAUAGAUGUCUGUUUGGUUUUCUUCUUUUCUGAUAAUAAGUUAUAGUAUGGCUGUAAAACUGUAUGAAUUCCUCUCUUAACAGUUGAGCUACGCUCCCAGUUGGGGUCAUUGCUACAGAAGAUGUCACAUCUCUUAUUAAUAAGAGCAAUAGCCUCUUGCAUUGACCUUUCGGCAUCCUGUUCUCUAGACACCAGUGCUUGUCUGUCAGUUCACUUGCAGUUUUUAGUCUGUGGUUAAUCUAAUUUGCCUUUUCUCGUCGCUUCCCCCCCCCCAGCUACGUAUGUGGAACGAAAGAAAUUGUUGUUGGUGACCAUCAAAAGUACAUGAUUUUGGAAAUAAAUAGAUUGACAUUUGAAAUAAUGAGAAUGAGACAAGAAAAUAUUGGAAAUUGCAAAGUGCGGUCGAAUUCGUAGACAUUAAAGGUACUGGAAAUGACGGACAUUUUAAAGCAUGGCGAUGAAUGGCUUAUCUUCGAGGAUAAUCACAUUAAAAUCUAGAAAAUUUAUCGACAAAUGUAAAAGUGUCACACUUUUAUUAUUUGAAAUCGUAGAAUAAAAAAUGUUUCGCCAUUUGUUUACUCUG